CCUACGGGAGGCAGCAGUGAGGAAUUUUGGACAAUGGGCGAAAGCCUGAUCCAGCAACGCCGCGUGGGUGACGAAGGCCUUCGGGUUGUAAAGCCCUUUCGGGAGGAACGAGAAAGGACGGUACCUCCAGAAGAAGCACCGGCUAACUCCGUGCCAGCAGCCGCGGUAAUACGGAGGGUGCGAGCGUUGUUCGGAAUUAUUGGGCGUAAAGCGCGUGUAGGCGGUUUGUUAAGUCUGAUGUGAAAGCCCCGGGCACAACCGGGGAAGGGCAUUGGAUACUGGCAGACUUGAGUACGGGAGAGGAGAGUGGAAUUCCCAGUGUAGGAGUGAAAUCCGUAGAUAUGGGGAGGAACACCGGUGGCGAAGGCGGCUCUCGGGACCGAUACUGACGCUGAGACGCGAAAGCGUGGGGAGCAAACAGGAUUAGAUACCCCUGUAGU
rnacentral:rRNA from 1 species